AACAAAAAUAACAAUACCGGACAUAUUUUGUCUGGUGAUUGGAAUGAGAAAAAUGUAAAAACCUUAACGAGGAACAAUUGGAGGACAAGUCUGGUGCCAGCACCCGCGGUAAUUCCAGCUCCAAGAGUGUAUAUUAAAGUUGCUGCAGUUAAAACGCUCGUAGUCGGAUUUUGGAACUUGCAUGGGGUCGGUCCGCCGCGAUGGCGUGUACUGAACCAUCAGUUCCUUAUUUUUGGAAGUUCGCCACAUUCCUAACCGUUUGUGGUCAUGGGUUUCGGCCCAAGAGCUCCAAAUCAUUUACUGUGAGUAAACUAGAGUGUUCAAAGCAGGCAUAUAUGUGCCCUGAAUACAUUAGCAUGGGAUAAUAGAAUAGGACUUUUGUUUUAUUUUGUUGGUUUUAUGGAGACGAAAGUAAUGAUUAAUGGGAACAAUUGGGGGCAUUCAUAUUCAAUUGCCAGAGGUAAAAUUCUAAGAUCAAUUGAAGAUGCGCGGAAGCGAAAGCUUAUGCCAAGGAUGUGUCCAUCGAUCAAGAACGAAAGUUGGGGGAUCGAAGACGAUCAGAUACCGUCGUAGUCUCAACCAUAAACGAUGACGACCCGGUAUUCGAAAACGUUGUUUUGACCUUU
rnacentral:rRNA from 1 species